rnacentral:rRNA from 1 species
GUCCGACUAACCCAUGCGAGUCAAGGGGGCGUCCCUUCUGGGACGCCACCGGCGGACGGCUCAGUAACACGUCGGUAACCUACCCUCGGGAGGGGGAUAACCCCGGGAAACUGGGGCUAAUCCCCCAUAGGCCUGGGGUACUGGAAGGUCCCCAGGCCGAAAGGGAGCCGUAAGGCUCCGCCCGAGGAUGGGCCGGCGGCCGAUUAGGUAGUUGGUGGGGUAACGGCCCACCAAGCCGAAGAUCGGUACGGGCCGUGAGAGCGGGAGCCCGGAGAUGGACACUGAGACACGGGUCCAGGCCCUACGGGGCGCAGCAGGCGCGAAACCUCCGCAAUGCGGGAAACCGCGACGGGGGGACCCCCAGUGCCGUGCCUCUGGCACGGCUUUUCCGGAGUGUAAAAAGCUCCGGGAAUAAGGGCUGGGCAAGGCCGGUGGCAGCCGCCGCGGUAAUACCGGCGGCCCGAGUGGUGGCCACUAUUAUUGGGCCUAAAGCGGCCGUAGCCGGGCCCGUAAGUCCCUGGCGAAAUCCCACGGCUCAACCGUGGGGCUCGCUGGGGAUACUGCGGGCCUUGGGACCGGGAGAGGCCGGGGGUACCCCCGGGGUAGGGGUGAAAUCCUAUAAUCCCGGGGGGACCGCCAGUGGCGAAGGCGCCCGGCUGGAACGGGUCCGACGGUGAGGGCCGAAGGCCAGGGGAGCGAACCGGAUUAGAUACCCGGGUAGUCCUGGCUGUAAAGGAUGCGGGCUAGGUGUCGGGCGAGCUUCGAGCUCGCCCGGUGCCGUAGGGAAGCCGUUAAGCCCGCCGCCUGGGGAGUACGGCCGCAAGGCUGAAACUUAAAGGAAUUGGCGGGGGAGCACUACAAGGGGUGGAGCGUGCGGUUUAAUUGGAUUCAACGCCGGGAACCUCACCGGGGGCGACGGCAGGAUGAAGGCCAGGCUGAAGGUCUUGCCGGACGCGCCGAGAGGAGGUGCAUGGCCGCCGUCAGCUCGUACCGUGAGGCGUCCACUUAAGUGUGGUAACGAGCGAGACCCGCGCCCCCAGUUGCCAGUCCCUCCCGCUCGGGAGGGAGGCACUCUGGGGGGACUGCCGGCGAUAAGCCGGAGGAAGGGGCGGGCGACGGUAGGUCAGUAUGCCCCGAAACCCCCGGGCUACACGCGCGCUACAAUGGGCGGGACAAUGGGUGCCGACCCCGAAAGGGGGAGGUAAUCCCCUAAACCCGCCCUCAGUUCGGAUCGCGGGCUGCAACUCGCCCGCGUGAAGCUGGAAUCCCUAGUACCCGCGCGUCAUCAUCGCGCGGCGAAUACGUCCCUGCUCCUUGCACACACCGCCCGUCACUCCACCCGAGCGGGGCCUAGGUGAGGCCCGAUCUCCUUCGGGAGGUCGGGUCGAGCCUAGGCUCCGUGAGGGGGGAGAAGUCGUAACAAGGUAGCCGUAGGGGAACCUACGGCUCGAUCACCUCCU